rnacentral:rRNA from 1 species
AGAGUUUGAUCCUGGCUCAGAAUCAACGCUGGCGGCGCGCCUAACACAUGCAAGUCGAACGAGAAAGCAGGAGCAAUCUUGUGAGUAAAGUGGCGUACGGGUGAGUAACACGUGGAUCAUCUACCUUCUAGUGGGGGAUAACCCUGGGAAACCGGGGCUAAUACCGCAUAAGUCCGAGAGGAGAAAGCAGCAAUGCGCUGGAAGAGGAGUCCGCGGCCGAUUAGUUAGUUGGCAGGGUAAAAGCCUACCAAGACAAAGAUCGGUAGCCGGCCUGAGAGGGCACACGGCCACACUGGCACUGAAACACGGGCCAGACUCCUACGGGAGGCAGCAGUGGGGAAUCUUGCACAAUGGGGGCAACCCUGAUGCAGCGACGCCGCGUGAGCGAUGAAGCCCUUCGGGGUGUAAAGCUCUUUCGGCAGGGAAGAUUAUGACGGUACCUGCAGAAGCAGCUGCGGCUAACUACGUGCCAGCAGCCGCGGUAAUACGUAGGCAGCAAGCGUUGUUCGGAGUUACUGGGCGUAAAGGGUGUGUAGGCGGUCUUCUAAGUUUGGUGUGAAAUCUCCCGGCUCAACUGGGAGGGUGCGCCGAAAACUGGGAGGCUAGAGUACUGGAUGGGAGAGUGGAAUUCCUGGUGUAGCGGUGAAAUGCGUAGAUAUCAGGAGGAACACCUGUGGUGUAGACGGCUCUCUGGACAGUAACUGACGCUGAGACACGAAAGCGUGGGUAGCAAACAGGAUUAGAUACCCUAGUAGUCC